GGGCCCGCACAAGCGGUGGAGCAUGUGGUUUAAUUCGAUGAUACGCGAGGAACCUUACCAGGGCUUAAAUGUAAGUUGCAUAGAUCAGAGAUGGUCUUUUCUUCGGACUACUUACAAGGUGCUGCAUGGUUGUCGUCAGCUCGUGCCGUGAGGUGUCAGGUUAAGUCCUAUAACGAGCGCAACCCCUGUCGUUAGUUACCAGCAAGUAAUGUUGGGUACUCUAGCGAGACUGCCGGUGCAAACCGUGAGGAAGGUGGGGAUGACGUCAAAUCAUCACGGCCCUUACGUCCUGGCUACACACGUGCUACAAUGGCCGGUACAGAGAGCAGCCACUACGCGAGUAGGAGCG
rnacentral:rRNA from 1 species